CCGAGACCCGCGUCAGCGUUCCCAUCCAGUCAAUUCUGACUCCUGACUGCGCAUGCGCCAAAUCAGGACAUUGGGACGGCGUACGCGUUUGGGUGGAACGGGUCCAGUUUCCCUUUUUGAAAAGCUGCAGGAAUCAUGGGAGACGUAUUCCUGCCAGCAGAUGCCGCGCACUCUGUGCUGCGGAGGCUCCCGAGAGCAAAAAACUGGGU